rnacentral:rRNA from 1 species
GACGAACGCUGGCGGCGUGCUUAACACAUGCAAGUCGAACGGAGAGGCCCUGCUUUUGUGGGGUGCUCGAGUGGCGAACGGGUGAGUAACACGUGAGUAACCUGCCCUUGACUUUGGGAUAACUUCAGGAAACUGGGGCUAAUACCGGAUAGGAGCUCCUGCUGCAUGGUGGGGGUUGGAAAGUUUCGGCGGUUGGGGAUGGACUCGCGGCUUAUCAGCUUGUUGGUGGGGUAGUGGCUUACCAAGGCUUUGACGGGUAGCCGGCCUGAGAGGGUGACCGGCCACAAUGGGACUGCGAUACGGCCCAGACUCCUACGGGAGGCAGCAGGGGGGAAUAUUGCACAAUGGGAGGAAGCCUGAUGCAGCAACGCCGCGUGCGGGAUGACGGCCUUCGGGUUGUAAACCGCUUUCGCCUGUGACGAAGCGUGAGUGACGGUAAUGGGUAAAGAAGCACCGGCUAACUACGUG